UACGUAGGGUGCAAGCGUUGUCCGGAAUUAUUGGGCGUAAAGAGCUCGUAGGCGGUCUGUCGCGUCUGCUGUGAAAACUCGGGGCUUAACCCCGGGCCUGCAGUGGGUACGGGCAGACUAGAGUGCGGUAGGGGAGACUGGAAUUCCUGGUGUAGCGGUGAAAUGCGCAGAUAUCAGGAGGAACACCGGUGGCGAAGGCGGCUCUCUGGGACGGUACUGACGCUGAGACGCGAAAGCGUGGGGAGCGAACAGG
rnacentral:rRNA from 1 species